UACGUAGGGGGCAAGCGUUGUCCGGAAUCAUUGGGCGUAAAGCGCGCGUAGGUGGUCAUGUAAGUCCGCUGUGAAAGUCAAAGGCUCAACCUUUGAAAGCCGGUGGAUACUGCAUGACUAGAGUACGGAAGAGGCGAGUGGAAUUCCUGGUGUAGCGGUGGAAUGCGCAGAUAUCAGGAGGAACACCAAUAGCGAAGGCAGCUCGCUGGGACGUUACUGACACUGAAGCGCGAAAGCGUGGGGAGCGAACAGG
rnacentral:rRNA from 1 species